UGGAAGGGGUCUAAUUGAUGUCAACUCAAUCUGCCAUAUUGCCUAAAGUUAAGGAAAGAAGAUUUCAAAAAUGUCAGAGGAAAUACAGGCAAGAUUUCACAAAGCUCCCAGCCUGACAGAACAUAGAAACUACCUAUUUAAUACUGAAUUGGAGUCCCAGCUCAGGCACUUUAAGAAGAUGAGGCCCAUCCUCUGUGAUGCGAUGUUUACUUUGAUCAAAGUCUUUUAUAUGCCUUCAGAGGACCCGCUAGGGUCAGCUUCACUGCAGUUUCCCAGUGGCCCUUUGACAGUCUACAAGCCAGCUGGAAAGCAAAGACCACCAUCAAGAAAAGGCCCUGAGCAGCAAACAGAGCCCCACCAUCCAUCCAGAGGUCAGCCUGAAGGAAAGCUACAGCCAGAAGCUCCAGCUACCGGGUCUCAGAGCUACAGGCACUUUUACACAGGGGCAGACAGAGAUAAGGUGGGAGCUGAUGUAUUAUGCCUGGAAGGUACCAAGGAAAUGAUAACGGAUGUUUCUAUUUGA
rnacentral:lncRNA from 1 species